rnacentral:rRNA from 1 species
GAGGUCAUGGCUCAGAUUGAACGCUGGCGGCAGGCCUAACACAUGCAAGUCGAGCGGAUGAAGAGAGCUUGCUCUCUGAUUCAGCGGCGGACGGGUGAGUAAUGCCUAGGAAUCUGCCUGAUAGUGGGGGACAACGUUUCGAAAGGAACGCUAAUACCGCAUACGUCCUACGGGAGAAAGCAGGGGACCUUCGGGCCUUGCGCUAUCAGAUGAGCCUAGGUCGGAUUAG